rnacentral:rRNA from 1 species
CCUACAGGAGGCUGCAGUGGGGAAUAUUGGACAAUGGGGGCAACCCUGAUCCAGCCAUGCCGCGUGUGUGAAGAAGGCCCUCGGGUUGUAAAGCACUUUCAGUGAGGAAGAACGCCUGGUGGUUAAUACCCAUCAGGAAAGACAUCACUCACAGAAGAAGUACCGGCUAACUCCGUGCCAGCAGCCGCGGUAAUACGGAGGGUGCGAGCGUUAAUCGGAAUUACUGGGCGUAAAGCGCGCGUAGGUGGCUUGAUAAGCCGGUUGUGAAAGCCCCGGGCUCAACCUGGGAACGGCAUCCGGAACUGUCAAGCUAGAGUGCAGGAGAGGAAGGUAGAAUUCCCGGUGUAGCGGUGAAAUGCGUAGAGAUCGGGAGGAAUACCAGUGGCGAAGGCGGCCUUCUGGACUGACACUGACACUGAGGUGCGAAAGCGUGGGUAGCAAACAGGAUUAGAUACCCGUGUAGUC